GGCAUCCACAACUUCUCUGGGCAACCUGUUCCAGUGCCUCACACUUUCUUGUAGGCAGUGCUGCUUGCAGGAUGAGGGUGCACAGGCCCUGGGACAGAGGAAAGCACAGAUCAAUGAACUGACAAGAUGGACAAUUUUGCUUUUGUUCUUUAAAACAGAGCAAGGAAGAAAAGCCACAAAGAAGAAAGAACGAGAGACUUGAGAAAGAGGCAAAAUCCAUAGUUGCAAACCAAAUUAAUUUUUGGGUACCUCAGUGUUUGAGUGCUCUUUUUUCAAUCUUUUCAAAAAUGAAUAGUUUCCAGAGAGCACCUGUCCUCCCAGAGUGAUGGUUACCUGAUGUGUCAGCGCCAGCUGAGCAUCUGUCAUCAUUUCUUAUUUUGGGAAAUGUAGGCCCCAUGUGUUUACACCUCUUCAGAUCUCUUUCAAGGAGUUGGCAAAAGGUUUGCAUUUGCAUUGGUCUUACUUGCCUGAAUAGUAUUUCCAUUCUUAUGAUCACCUUUUUUCUCAGUGAGAGGUUGAAUUUCUGGUGUUGUAAUACCCAUCCACAUAAAAAUAAGAGCUCAAUAUAUUUUAAAAGGAAGAGACACUUAAUCAUUUAUGAAGGUACAAUAUUCUGAGUAAAAAAACCACCAAAGGCCACACACGGAUUUCUCCCCUCCUUCUCUC